UGAUGAUGAUGAUGAUGAUGAUGAUGAUGAUGAUGAUGAUGAUGAUGAUGAUGAUGAUGAUGAUGAUGAUCAUGUGGAUGUGCGGUAAUGCAACUAAAAUGUUCUGUAUCGCAACGCGCUUGUUCGGUAAAGCAUCUCUUGUUCGUUAUUGCAACUUUUUUGUUCGCUAUUGCAACUCCGUGUUCGGUUUUGUAACUUGAAUAAUUUUGUUUUUUUUAUUAAGUUGUUACGUCGUCAGCCGGCUCAAAAUAAUUUUCGUUCAAAGUUAAUUGGGCAGACAAAAAUUUGUUUGAUGUUUUUAAGCUUCUGGAUCAUACUUUUAAAAUACCUCACUCUAUUGAUGUCAACAUCUGAAGCCUUACAACAGCAUACCUUUCAAUAAUAUCUCACUCAAUAUUACAUCAUGUGUAAAAAUGCGCAUUUGAAUACAAUUAAAAUGUGUCAUUUCUCAGAAAAAUUUAAAAGUGCUUAUUUAAAUUUUUCUAAAAAUGGCAUGUAAUUUAUUAAUGCUUUGAUUCAGACAUUGAAGAUUUGUUAUCAAAACAACAUUUAAAGUUUAAAAAUCAAUCAUCUUCAACAAUUACAACACAAACUAAUUUUCGUGGUUUUAAAAACUAUAUCAAUUUGAUCCUGUAUAUUUGUACAAAGAUAUCAUGAGUGUUUGUUCCAGCAAUAAAGUCAUAUAUGAAAAAUUUAAAAAGCUUCAUCAACUUACAACAACAGACUCUAGAUUCCAAUAUUAGACUAAAUUUAGACCUAAAAGGUUGUGACAAAACCCUGAAGAUUUAAUCAAAAAAAAAAUGUGUUUUGAGUUUAUAAAUAUUGUCCAGGAAUUUUAAAAGGAAGACUAAAUUAAAUUUACUUGGAAGCAUACAAAAGAUUCUCGUAAUAUGCUUCGUAUCAUUAGGUAUGGUACCGUUAAAAAUCUGUCAGUUAAACAACAAAUAGUUUUGAAAAAAAACAAGAGUAUGACGAAAUGGGUCUAAAAUUUAAAAUUGAGUGGAAACAAAUCUGUAUAUAUAGCUUGUGUUUUA
rnacentral:lncRNA from 1 species